AUGGAAAAGAAAGAUGCUAAACCUAGACUUAUUAGAUGGGUUCUCUUGCUACACGAAUUUGAUUUGCAUAUCAUUGAUAGAAAGGGAGCUGAGAACUCCGUUGCAGACAACUUGUCUAGGUUAGAAAAUGUUCUUGAUGACCCACUACCUAUUGAUGAUAGCUUUCCUGAUGAACAAUUAAAUGUCAUAAAUGCAUCUCACACUGCUCCAUGGUAUGCUGAUUAUGUUAAUUACAUUGUUGCUAAACUUAUACCACCUAGUUUCACAUACCAACAAAAGAAAAAGUUCUUCUAUGAUUUGAGACAUUACUUUUGGGAUGACCCACAUCUUUAUAAAGAAGGAGUAGAUGGUAUUAUUAGACGAUGUGUAUCUGAGCAUGAACAGGAACAGAUCCUACACAAGUGUCACUCCGAGGCUUAUGGAGGACACCAUGCUGGAGAUAGAACUGCACAUAAGGUAUUGCAAUCCGGUUUUUAUUGGACUACUCUUUUCAAGGAUGCCCGUAAGUUUGUCUUGUCUUGUGUUGAAUGUCAAAGAAUUGGUAAUAUUAGUAGACGUCAAGAAAUGCCUAUGAAUUAUUCACUUGUUACUGAACCAGUUGAUGUUUGGGGCUUUGAUUAUAUGGGACAUUUUCCUGCCUCUAAUGGAUAUACACAUAUUUUAGUUGCUGUAGAUUAUGUUACUAAGUGGGUAGAAGCUAUUCCAACUAGUAGUGCUGAUCAUAACACCUCUAUAAAAAUGCUUAAAGAAGUUAUUUUUCCAAGGUUUGGAUUCCCCAGAUAUUUAAUGACUGAUGGUGGUUCACAUUUUAUUCAUGGUGCUUUCCGCAAAAUGCUUGCUAAAUAUGAUGUUAAUCAUAAAAUUGCAUCUCUUUAUCACCCAGUCUAG
rnacentral:rRNA from 1 species